AUUGAACGCUGGCGGCAUGCUUUACACAUGCAAGUCGAACGGCAGCGCGGGCUUCGGCCUGGCGGCGAGUGGCGAACGGGUGAGUAAUGCAUCGGAACGUGCCCAGUAGUGGGGGAUAGCCCGGCGAAAGCCGGAUUAAUACCGCAUACGACCUGAGGGUGAAAGCGGGGGACCGAAAGGCCUCGCGCUAUUGGAGCGGCCGAUGUCGGAUUAGCUAGUUGGUGGGGUAAAGGCUUACCAAGGCGACGAUCCGUAGCUGGUCUGAGAGGACGACAAGCCACACUGGGACUGAGACACGGCCCAGACUCCUACGGGAGGCAGCAGUGGGGAAUUUUGGACAAUGGGGGCAACCCUGAUCCAGCCAUGCCGCGUGCGGGAAGAAGGCCUUCGGGUUGUAAACCGCUUUUGUUCGGGAAGAAAUCCUCUGGGCUAAUACCCCGGGGGGAUGACGGUACCGGAAGAAUAAGCACCGGCUAACUACGUG
rnacentral:rRNA from 1 species